CAAAAAGCGUAUUAAUCAAGUAAUGGCUAGCUGUUUAUGGUGACGUUGUUCCAAAGAGAGAAUAUGAAUUGAUUGAAAGUUCCUUUAGAAAGGUAAAGAGUGAACUUGAUGCAGUGAGGGCUCAAUAUGCUAGGGUAAUGAAAGAAUAUAAGUAAGCACUAGAGAAAGGACAACAGGACACAACUUAAUGUAUUUUAAACUUUUUCUUUGAUGUUAAUGUUAAUGAUCAAAUGCUUGGAAGCU